CCCGCUGAACUUAAGCAUAUCAAUAAGCGGAGGAAAAGAAACUAACAAGGAUUCCCCUAGUAACUGCGAGUGAAGCGGGAAGAGCUCAAAUUUAAAAUCUGACGUGCCUCUGGUCGUCCGAGUUGUAGUCUGGAGAAGCGUUUUCCGUGUUGGACCGUGUAUAAGUCUCUUGGAACAGGGUGUCAUAGAGGGUGAGAAUCCCGUCUUUGACACGGACUACCAAUGCUUUGUGAUGCGCUCUCAAAGAGUCGAGUUGUUUGGGAAUGCAGCUCAAAAUGGGUGGUAAAUUCCAUCUAAAGCUAAAUAUUGGCGAGAGACCGAUAGCGAACAAGUACCGUGAGGGAAAGAUGAAAAGAACUUUGGAAAGAGAGUUAAACAGUAUGUGAAAUUGCUGAAAGGGAAACGCUUGAAGUCAGUCACGUUGACUCGGAAUCAGCUCUGCUUUUGCUGGGUGUACUUUCUUGUCAAUGGGUCAGCAUCAAUUUUGACCAUUGGAUAAAGUUGCUGGGAAUGUAGCAUCCUUUUGGAUGUGUUAUAGCCUGGUGAUGCAUACAGUGGUUGGGAUUGAGGAAUUCAGCACGCCACCAGGCCGGGUUUUGACCACGUUCGUGCUUAGGAUGCUGGCAUAAUGGCUUUAAUUGACCCGUCUUGAAACACGG
rnacentral:rRNA from 1 species